AUCUACGGCCAGAGAAUCAAGAAACCACCGCAUCCCGUCAGAUCUGCGCAGUUAAGCUUGAUGUCGCUUGGUCAGUACCGACGUCGGGGACGAUUCGGGAAUCCCAAGUGCCGUAGUUG
rfam:Cryptococcus dejecticola CBS 10117 unplaced genomic scaffold supercont1.4, whole genome shotgun sequence.